ensembl:lncRNA
CAUUGUAGUAAGAACCAGGAUGUGAACCAGUCUGCACCAGCACUGUGGUCUCAAAAACCACCGAGAGAGCCAAAGGUGAGAAGGACACCAGGAAACCUUCAUGAGGAAGACUUAGAGAAGACCUCUGCCCAGGACGACCAGAGAGCAGCACGCACGUGCACAGAGAUUGACAUGAGGGAUGGGGAAGAUGUGGCCGUACUUCAGUUGCAAUGGAAGAAGCUGAGGUAGCAGAAGCCAUCUGCCUGCAGAAACAUGGAGCUGGUUUAUCCUGCCAAAAAGAAGAGUCUUUCUAUGGUGUGGGUCUCAAACCUGUUAUUUCUAGCUUGUUUUCAGUGCUCAGACUGCCCUAGUUCACUUGCAUAACGUCAUAAAAGAAGGACACUGACUUGUGUUUUAAUACCAAAUGUAACAUUUCAUUCCAACAGGAAAAAAAGAAAAACACCAGAAAACCAACCAAACAAGCCUCACCCCCACCCCAAAUCUUAUUUUACAAGAGUACGAGAAAAUAAAUGUUAGUGUUAAACAACUGCGUUAAAUAUACACUGUGUUGCAGCACAACUAAGGAGCUCAUCAUGGGAUUCUCUCAAGCCAUUAGACCAAUCCAGGUUAUCAGGAUCAGGAAAAGGGAAACAAUCAAUUUGAAGUUCAGCAUUAUAAUUUUUUCCUUUUAUUGAGUUCUGUGACAGUAGUGCACAAGAUGUAAGGAUGUGUUUCAUCUGUUUUUGUAUUACAGGAAAGCAUUAAGACAAAAUUUUUAAGUAGGUGAUUUCCAUCAUGUGUAACUCUCGUACAAGAGAGAAAAUAAAAUGAGGGUUAACUUUUAGCUGCUCUCACAAACUCUUUAUCUCAUGCAAAUGAAAUACUGUUGUACCCUACACAUGUCAUGGACAUCUAGGGCCACAGGUCUGCUUUGCUGUGUGGCCCACUUGUUUUAAUAGGCUUUGAAUGAAGAUUUUUCUUCAACAACUGUUGGUUAUCAGCUCCUCAGAUUAGCACUGAAAGCCAGAUCAAAUACAGGGUAAUAACAUUAUCUCUCUGCAUAUAAUCAUCUUCUGGAUCUGUGUAUGUAUUGGCAGUUCAGAAGCUUGGUCUGUGCACAGAAGAAUGCAUGGCAACCUCUGGGAUGCAGGAUUGUACAGAGUGUCUGCAGGAUCCUUUAUAUUUGACUUUUCUGGAGAAUGCUGUCAUACAAACCCUUUCAGAAACCAAACAAUAUCUGUAUCAGAACCAUCACAUUUUUUUAAUUUCUGCCCUUUUCUAUAACCUCAUUUCUCCACUGGCUGGAAAUUCAUCCCUAAUAUCCAGUUUUCAUUUGCUCACAGAUGGUUUGUAUCCAUUUGGGCUUUGUACUGACUUUAUCCACUUGUGUACAGAAGACUUAGGAUCAGCUCCUGUGCUUACGUGGCACUAAUAAAGAGCCCAUCACAUUUUGUGAGCUUUUCUAGCUGCUACUGCUUCCCUGGUCUUAAAUACCAUCAUUGCUGGGCACCUGGGAAGACAGUGCUGCAGGGAGGCACUCUGUCCCUCCUUAGUCAUGGCCAUGAGUGUGCAAUUGUCUAGAUCAAUGAUAAAAAAUAGAAUGCAGAAGAUGAAUGAGAAUGUAAUUGUAUGAAGACUUACUUGCAGAAUUCUGGGUAUGGAUUGAUUGGGGAAAAUGCAAGUGCAUUUGCUCUCAAUUUUAUUAGUGAAGAGAGUACGGAUCUCGUUUGACUUAACCUUUAGAUAAACCUAUGUCUUUGACUCCAUAGAACAUAGAGCAACUCUCAACUUACUUAAACAUAGGUAUUUCCUUAUAUUUUGACAAUAGGAUAGCUUCUCUUUUGUAGCUUAUACAGUCUAACAUGGAUUUUGUCACUUAGAAGAAGUUCAAAUAAGCUGAACUCG